GAACCGCUUUCGGGCGGGGAUUAGUGGCGAACGGGUGAGUAACACGUGGGCAAUCUGCCCUGCACUCUGGGACAAGCCCUGGAAACGGGGUCUAAUACCGGAUAUGACUGUCCAUCGCAUGGUGGAUGGUGUAAAGCUCCGGCGGUGCAGGAUGAGCCCGCGGCCUAUCAGCUUGUUGGUGAGGUAGUGGCUCACCAAGGCGACGACGGGUAGCCGGCCUGAGAGGGCGACCGGCCACACUGGGACUGAGACACGGCCCAGACUCCUACGGGAGGCAGCAGUGGGGAAUAUUGCACAAUGGGCGAAAGCCUGAUGCAGCGACGCCGCGUGAGGGAUGACGGCCUUCGGGUUGUAAACCUCUUUCAGCAGGGAAGAAGCGAAAGUGACGGUACCUGCAGAAGAAGCGCCGGCUAACUACGUGCCAGCAGCCGCGGUAAUACGUAGGGCGCAAGCGUUGUCCGGAAUUAUUGGGCGUAAAGAGCUCGUAGGCGGCUUGUCACGUCGGUUGUGAAAGCCCGGGGCUUAACCCCGGGUCUGCAGUCGAUACGGGCAGGCUAGAGUUCGGUAGGGGAGAUCGGAAUUCCUGGUGUAGCGGUGAAAUGCGCAGAUAUCAGGAGGAACACCGGUGGCGAAGGCGGAUCUCUGGGCCGAUACUGACGCUGAGGAGCGAAAGCGUGGGGAGCGAACAGGAUUAGAUACCCUGGUAGUCCACGCCGUAAACGGUGGGCACUAGGUGUGGGCAACAUUCCACGU
rnacentral:rRNA from 1 species